rnacentral:rRNA from 1 species
CUACCAUGCAAGUCGAACGAAGUAUGUUUUUCGGAUAUACUUAGUGGCGGACGGGUGAGUAACGCGUGAACAAUCUGCCCUGUACAAAGGAAUAGCCUCGGGAAACCGGGAUUAAAACCGUAUGAAACUUGAGUAUCACAUGAGACAUAAGUCAGGUCCAAUAAGAGGUAUGGGAUGAGUUCGCGUCUGAUUAGCUAGUUGGUAUGGUAAAGGCCUACCACGGCGACGAUCAGUAGCCGGCCUGAGAGGGUGAACGGCCACGCUGGAACUGAGACACGGUCCAUACUCCUACAGGAGGCAGCGGUGGGGAAUAUUGCACGAUGGGGGAAACCCUGAUGCAACGACGCCGCGUGAGUGAAGAACGUCUUCGGAUCGUAAGACUCUGUCCUUGGUGAAGAAAAAAAUGACGGUAGCCAAGGACGAAGCCCCGGCUAACUACGUGCCAACAGCCGCGGUAAUACGUAGGGGGCGAGCGUUGUCCGGAUUUACUGGGCGUAAAGGGUGAGUAUGCGGUAAUAUGUGUCAGAUGUAAAAGGCUAAGGCUUAACCAUAGUUAGCAUUUGAAACUGUAUUACUUGAGUGCAGGAGAGGUAAGUGGAAUUCCUAGUGUAGCGGUGAAAUGCGUAGAUGUUAGGAGGAACACCAGUGGCGAAGGCGACUUACUGGACUGUAACUGAC